rnacentral:rRNA from 1 species
UACAGAGGGUGCGAGUGUUAAUCGGAAUUACUGGGCGUAAAGCGUGCGUAGAUGGUUAUGUAAGUCGGAUGUGAAAGCCCCGGGCUCAACCUGGGAAUUGCAUUCGAGACUGCAUAGCUAGGAUGCGGAAGAGGGAAGCGGAAUUUCCGGUGUAGCGGUGAAAUGCGUAGAUAUCGGAAGGAACACCAGUGGCGAAAGCGGCUUCCUGGUCCAGCAUCGACGUUCAGGCACGAAAGCGUGGGGAGCAAACAGG